GCUUGUCUCAAAGAUUAAGCCAUGCAUGUCUAAGUGUAAAUAAGUCUAUACUGUGAAACUGCGAAUGGCUCAUUAAAUCAGUUAUCGUUUAUUUGAUGAUCUCUUACUACUUGGAUAACCGUAGUAAUUCUAGAGCUAAUACAUGCAUCAAUACCCAACUGUUCGCGGAAGGGUAGUAUUUAUUAGAUGGAAACCAAUGCAGGGCAACCUGGAAUAUGGUGAUUCAUAAUAACUCGCGGAUCGGUUUACCGAUGCAUCAUUCAAGUUUCUGCCCUAUCAGCUUUGGAUGGUAGGGUAUUGGCCUACCAUGGCUUUAACGGGUAACGGAGAAUUAGGGUUCGAUUCCGGAGAGGGAGCCUGAGAAAUGGCUACCACAUCCAAGGAAGGCAGCAGG
rnacentral:rRNA from 1 species